GACAGAGGGUGCAAACGUUGCUCGGAAUUACUGGGCGUAAAGCGCGUGUAGGCGGCUCUAUAAGUCGGAUGUGAAAUCCCUCGGCUCAACUGAGGAAGUGCAUUCGAUACUGCAGAGCUUGAGUACCGGAGAGGGUCGUGGAAUUCCUGGUGUAGAGGUGAAAUUCGUAGAUAUCAGGAGGAACACCGGCGGCGAAGGCGGCGACCUGGACGAGUACUGACGCUCAGACGCGAAAGCGUGGGUAGCAAACAGG
rnacentral:rRNA from 1 species